rnacentral:misc_RNA from 1 species
AGCAGCCGCGGUAAUUCCAGCUCCAAUAGCGUAUAUUAAAGUUGUUGCAGUUAAAAAGCUCGUAGUUGAAUUUCGGGGUUAGUAGGUUGGUCAUGCCUCUGGUAUGUACUGGUCUCACUGAUUCCUCCUUCCUGAUGAACCUUAAUGCCAUUAAUUUGGUGUUUUGGGGAAUUUGGACUGUUACUUUGAAAAAAUUAGAGUGUUUAAAGCAAGCUAACGCUUGAAUACAUUAGCAUGGAAUAAUGAAAUAGGACGUUCGAUCCUAUUUUGUUGGUUUCUAGGAUUGACGUAAUGAUUAAUAGGGAUAGUUGGGGGCAUUAGUAUUCAAUUGUCAGAGGUGAAAUUCUUGGAUUUAUUGAAGACUAACUACUGCGAAAGCAUUUGCCAAGGAUGUUUUCAUUAAUCAAGAACGAAAAGUUAGGGGGAUUCGAAGACGAUCAGAUACCGUCGUAGUCUUAAACCAUAAACUAUGCCGACUAGGGAUCGGAUGAUGUUAAUUUUUUAAUGUACUCAUUCGGCG